rnacentral:rRNA from 1 species
AGGGAACUAAACCCUUGGAAAGGCAAGCCACUGGGAGGGGUGCGUCCCCAGCUAGUGUAAGGUAGGCUUACCGGCGAUGAGGUAGGGGCUGAGAGGGACCCCCCAAUGGAACAAACACGGCAUACACCCGGGUGGCCAGUAGGGUAUUGGUUUGGGCGAACCUGACCCCAACGCCGUGUGCGAUAGGCCUUCGUCGUAAAACUUUUUAGGGAUGAGAGGACAGUCACUAGAAAGUCUCGGAACUACGUCAGCAGCCGGUAACACAGGAGACACGUUAUCCAUUUACUGUGUAAAGCGUGUAGGCCUCUGUAAUGGAUGUGAGCUCCUGUUAACUGGGAGGKUGUAAGACUGCGGCUUGAGU